rnacentral:tRNA from 1 species
UGCGGGAUAGAGAAGAGGCCUAUCUCGGUUGGCUCAUAACCAGCAGAACGGCGGUUCGAAUCCGUCUCCCGCAA